UCUGUCCCCCCAUGCAGCUCUCAAUGACCCUGAUGGUCCCUCUCCAAGGCCCUCUCCAAGCUCCAUGGGCUCUCUGCUCCCUCAGUCCCUCUCAACAGGCCUUGGGACCACCACAGCAGAGGCAGCUGCCAGCGGUUCUCCUUCAGCCACUCCCAGCAUGGCCACGCCUUUGUCCCUCAUGGGCACCAGUGGAGCAAAGCCAGACAGGGCCCCUCGGGCUGCUGCUGCUGCACCAUCACCUUCCAUCGCUGCGUUUGGCAUCGGGACUGUGCCAGCUACCCAUCCAUCCUCCUUGGUUAGCAGCACUCCAGUUAGUGAAGCAGGGAUGGGAUCAGCAUCACUAGCCAGUGGCAGUGCCACCACAAUUCCGGGGGACACCGAAGCCACCCAGCCUGUGCCUGAUGCACAUCCCAGCCACAGCCAGCCAGGUCCCGCAGCAGGCUCAACAACCCCAGGAAUUGGUGUCACACCCAGAUCUGCACUAACCCCAGUGCUCUGGGCUGGGCCUCAAAUUGUGGAAGCUCCAGGGACAGAGAUGCCAUCACCCAACACUGCACCAGGCACUGGCAGAGCUGUAUCAGAUACCCCUGGGGGACCCAGAGCAGUCACUGUCCCCAUGGCAUCACAAGCAGAUGUCCCUCCUCUCCUGGAAGGCAGAGCCAAUGUAGGGAUAUCUCUGGAGAUGUCCCCAUCCAGCAUCCCCCAAGAGAUGGCAGCAGUCACGUCCCCACUGUCCCUGGCUGCCCCACUGCAAGCAAUGGGGGCUUCGGGUGACCCCCAGCCCAAUGAUGGUGCCACAGGGCGAGCAAUGGGGACGGGGUUCCUGAAGGGGAGCACGGAGGAGAACCCAGGUGCCAGUGCAGCGGGGUCAGCUCCCAGCCUCACAUUUGUCACUGCCAAGCCAUCACCAGAGCCACCUGGCACUGAGGACAAGCCCACCGCUGGGAUCACCCCGCUGGCUGUUGGCCACACAAACGUGCAGGAGGGUACAGCUGCAUCCUGGAUAGGUGCCACAGGCACCACUGCCCAUGUGGACACCAGCAGCUCUGAGAGUAGCACCAAGGGUGCAGCACCCUCAGCCAGCACCAGCAGCACCCGUGUCCCUGAUUCCAACACCAGUAGCACAUACCUGGCCACCAUGC
rnacentral:lncRNA from 1 species